GGGGGGGGGAAGAGAAAAGAGGGCUCACAAGUCAUAUGAGCCAGCGGCACUCAGGCGGACACACGGUGGCGGAGACACGGACAGAUGGACAACAACGACUAGAGUUGAGAAAGCCUAAUUGGAUUUGGGAAAAAAGGGAGAUAAAAUGGAGGGAGAGCACGGGAUUUUGGAAUUCAAUUGGAGCAACAUUCAAGCAAGUAUAUUAGCGGGCUCACGGCUAAUUGAACGGUUGAUGGCCAAUUGAAGGUGGUAAUUUGGGAGAGAACAGCACGAACAGAGCAGGAAGAAACGAAGACGGCGGUCAUGUUUCGUAAAAAUGAAUGAAAAACUGG
rnacentral:lncRNA from 1 species